UAAAAGCUUUCUCUAGAAGCAGAGAAGGGAGGAUGCAAGGGGCUUGCAGUGCUUGAUGAUAURUGCUGGGGAUGCCCUGAGCAGCAGCCAUGGCUGUGGAGUAGCUGGGCAGAACUGAGAGAAGGAAUCAAGUCCAGGCUGCUAAGGUUACACUUCUAGUGGAUGAAGAAAAGCCUGUGGAUAUAACCUACCUGACUUCAGCAAAUCCUUUAAUACUGUCUCCAGUGGCAUUCUCCUGGAAAAUGUGAUGGCUUAUGGCUUGGACUGGUGCACCCUUUGUUGGGUGAAAACUGCCGGGAUGGCUGGGCACAGACAGUGAUGAAAUGCUGUAUUUUAUAGAACACUAAYAAAAGGAUGAAAUUACAC